UGAAUACGAGAUGCUACGGCAUUGAAGCAGUGUAUGUCAGACUUCCAAGAAAAGCUCGCAAUGUCAUAAAUAGAUAAUGCCUGUACCAUAACCGACACAGGUGGGUAGGUAGAGUAUACUAAGGGGCGCGAGAUAACUCUCUCUAAGGAACUCGGCAAAAUGACUCCGUAACUUCGGGAGAAGGAGUGCCUUAUUUAUAAGGUUGCAAUAACAAGAUCCAAGCAACUGUUUACCAAAAACACAGGUCUCCGCUAAGUCGUAAGACGAUGUAUGGGGGCUGACGCCUGCCCAGUGCCAGAAGGUUAAAGAAGUUGGUUAGCACUCGCGAAGCUGAUAACUGAAGCCCUGGUGAACGGCGGCCGUAACGAUAACGGUCCUAAGGUAGCGAAAUUCCUUGUCGGGUAAGUUCCGACCCGCACGAAAGGCGUAAUGAUUUGGAUACUGUCUCGGAGAGGGGCUCGGUGAAAUAGACUUGUCUGUGAAGAUGCGGACUACCUGCACCUGGACAGAAAGACCCUAUGAAGCUUUACUGUAACUUGAAAUUGAAAUUGGACUUUAUUUGCGCAGUAUAGGUGGGAGGCGUUGAGUUUAUUCUUGCGGGAAUUUAGGAGCCAUCAGUGAGAUACCACUCUGGUAAUGUUAGAUUUCUAACUUUGUAUCAUAAUCUGGUCAAGGAACAGUUUCAGGCGGGCAGUUUGACUGGGGCGGUCGCCUCCCAAAUGGUAACGGAGGCGUACAAAGGUUUCCUCUGAACGUGUAGAAAUCGUAUCUAGAGUGUAAAGGCAUAAGGAAGCUUGACUGUGAGACUUACAAGUCGAGCAGGGACGAAAGUCGGUCUUAGUGAUCUGACGGUGCUGAGUGGAAAGGCCGUCACUCAACGGAUAAAAGUUACUCUAAGGAUAACAGGCUGAUCUCCCCCAAGAGAUCACAUCGACGGGGAGGUUUGGCACCUCGAUGUCGGCUCAUCGCAUCCUGGGGCGGUAGUACGUCCCAAGGGUUGGGCUGUUCGCCCAUGAAAGCGGUACGCGAGCUGGGUUCAGAACGUCGUGAGACAGUUCGGUCCAUAUCCGGUGUAGGCGUUAGAAUAUUGAGAGGAGCCUUCUUUAGUACGAGAGGACCGAGAAGGACAUACCUCUGGUGUACCAGUUAUCAUGCCAAUGGUAAACGCUGGGUAGCUAUGUAUGGAGAGGAUAACCGCUGAAAGCAUCUAAGUGGGAAGCCCACCUCAAGAUAAG
rnacentral:rRNA from 1 species